AAGCAAGACUUGAGCUCAAAUUCCUUCAAACAGAAUUCUUGUUUUGUCCCUCCCUACCCUACAAAGUACCCGACUUGAAAUUUUGGCUCCUAUACUAGUUCUGUAGAAGAUGGCGGUCUUUCGAGCAUUUGAAGUUUGAAUGUCAUUUCUCCACGCUCACUUUCAAUGUUUCACUAGGCCAAUUUCCCUUUCUUCCCCAAAAUUUCCAAUUUAGGGUUCCGGUGAACCCUCCAGUUCAAUUCGAUUAUGGAUUCCGACGCACCUCGUACCCGCAUUGAUCAGUUUUAUGCGUCAAAGAAAAAGAAAAUAUUUUCACCAAAGACUGCUAAAGAUUCAUCGCCUAGUGCAAAAGGGACAUUGGAAAACUAUUUGGUGACUUCACAAAAUGAUUCAGUGAAAAGAAGUUUGGCAUUGGAGAUUGAUUUAUCUGCCAAAAAUGAAAUUAAAGAGAUCCUUUUGCCGAGUGAUGGUACUGUUAGGGAAUCAAUUUCAUCUGAAGCGGUUCCAGGAAGUGAGUCCGGAGCCGGAAAUGCCGGUGGUGGAGCAGGUCGGCAGGAUAUUCCGGACCAAGUUCAAGGCCCUGAGAACGCAGAGCUUAACAAGUUUGCUAUGGACUUUUUAUCGUUGUAUUGCAGUGGAAUUCAAUCAAGCUCGCUUUCUGAGCAAAAACCAAAUGAGCAUAAAAGAAGGGGGAGUCCGUCAGUGCUUAUAGCAGAAGGUGCAGAGUCCAAGAAAAGGCACUAUGCUGCUGAUAAUGAAAUAUCACAGCCGGAUCAUCAGACACCAAGUUGCGAUAAAAGAGCUCUUGGUCUUGUGCAGUGCAGCAAUUUUCUUGAAAAGGCGGAAAAAGUUGCCAACUCUGCCGUAGAAGUUGACUGUGAUGAAGAUUUGUCUAAGCCACAAGCCAGCUUAAGAAAAUGCAAUAAAACUACAAAUUCAACCUCAUCGGUGAACGAGUUUUCCACACCUGCCACAUUUUGUAAAAGUUCGAGUGCACGUGAAACUCCCGUAUCAACUCGUGGAAGCUCCAUCUUUUCACCAGGAGAAGCAUUCUGGAACGAGGCAAUUCAAGUUGUUGAUGGCUUGUUUCCUCAAACUGGUAACAGGUUUUCUCAGGAUGCAGACGAUGCAGGUAUCACUAUCAACAAGACACUAGGUGAAGGGAGUUCAAAUAUAUUCGAUGUACCAAUUGAUAUUGAUGCUAGCAGUUCUAAGCAGACCGGGUUAACUACUACAUUGUCAGAGAAAUAUGUGGAAAAUCUGGAAAUAGAAGCAUCCCCAUUGCCUGUUAAGCAUUUUGAUUUCUCAUGUGAUGACAAAAAUGUGGACAGAAGUAUGCCAAUUCAUAUUUCUUCAGUAAACAAAGAAGAUCAUAAAGAUGGUGCAGUAUGCAAAUUUGCAGAUCACGAGAGGCCACUAGAUAAAAAUGCUGGAACUGGCAGUGAAGUUCAGUUACAUACAUUAGCACAUAAAGUAUUGGAGGAAGUAGCUCCUGUGUUUGUAUCUGAAAAAAGGAGGCAUAGUUUAUUUAGUUCGGAGAGUGACAAAAAAAGUUAUGACUUACAUAACAGGGAAAAUGCUAACUUUGGGGCUCCCGGUAUCUCUGAUGGAUCUGGUACUCCUUCAAGUUGCAUGCCUUUGGAGGAUCGGCUAGACCUGAGCAACUGGCUGCCUCCUGAGAUAUGUCGCAUUUAUAGACGCAAAGGAAUACCUAAACUCUAUCCUUGGCAGGUUGAUUGUCUUCAAAUGGAUGGUGUUUUGCAGAAGAGAAAUCUUGUUUAUUGUGCAUCUACGAGUGCCGGAAAAAGUUUUGUUGCUGAGAUCCUGAUGUUGCGACGUGUCAUACACUCUGGAAAAAUUGCUCUGCUUGUGCUACCUUAUGUUUCUAUCUGUGUUGAAAAGGCAGAACAUCUUGAGGUCCUGUUGGAACCCCUUGGCAAGCAUGUUCGCAGCUAUUACGGGAAUCAAGGUGGUGGGUCACUUCCAAAAGAUACAUCAGUAGCUGUCUGUACUAUAGAGAAGGCCAACUCGUUAGUUAACAGAUUGCUUGAAGAAGAUAGAUUAUCAGAAGUGGGAAUUAUCGUGAUUGAUGAACUGCACAUGGUUGCUGAUCCUGGCAGGGGUUAUCUGUUAGAGCUUCUAUUGACAAAGCUCCGCUACGCAUCUGGUGAAGGUAAUAGUGAAUCAUGCAGCGGAGAAAGUUCAGGCACAAGUAGCGGUAAAGGUGACAUAACUCAAGGUCUGCAAAUUGUUGGGAUGAGUGCUACAAUGCCAAACGUGGCAGCAGUUGCCGAAUGGCUUCAUGCGGCAUUAUACCAGACUGAGUUUCGUCCAGUACCUUUGGAGGAAUUUAUAAAAGUGGGCAGCAAUAUCUAUGACAAAAAGAUGGAAAUUGUUAGGACUAUUCCUAAGUCAGCGGAUCUUGGAGGGAAAGAUCCAGAUCAUGUUGUGGAAUUAUGCAAUGAGGUUGUUCAAGAUGGUAAUUCUGUACUCAUUUUCUGUUCAAGUCGGAAAGGAUGUGAAUCUACAGCCAAGCAUAUCUCAUUGUAUCUCAAGAAGUUCUCUGCCAAAAUCCAAGAAGGGUCGAGUGACUUUAUUGAUGUUUUUUCAGCCAUUGAUGCCUUGAGAAGGUGUCCUGUGGGUUUAGAUCCCGUGUUGGAGCAAACUCUCCCUUCUGGUGUUGCCUAUCAUCAUGCUGGCCUCACGGUUGAGGAAAGAGACAUUGUUGAAACCUGCUAUCGUAAAGGAUUAGUACGUGUCCUAACUGCCACAUCUACUCUAGCUGCUGGUGUUAAUUUACCUGCUAGGAGAGUCAUAUUUCGUCAACCAAAAAUCGGUCGUGAUUUCCUUGAUGGGACAAGGUACAAACAAAUGGCUGGUAGAGCUGGUCGAACCGGUAUAGAUGCAAAAGGAGAAAGUGUACUUCUUUGUAGACCUGAAGAAGUUAAGAGAAUAAAAGCCCUUAUGAACGACAGUUGUCCACCUCUGCAAUCUUGUCUUUCAGAAGAUAAAAAUGGAAUGACUCAUGCUAUCCUGGAAGUCGUGGCCAGUGGAAUUGUUCAAACAGCUAAUGAUAUUCACCGAUACGUGAGGUGUACGCUCCUUAAUUCUACAAAGCCAUUUGAAGAUGUUGUCAAAUCAGCACAAGAUUCUCUUAAGUGGUUGUGUCAUAAAAAAUUCCUUGAGUGGAAUAAUGAUACUAAGUUAUACAGUACCACUCCUCUGGGAAGAGCAGCUUUUGGCAGUUCUCUGUCUCCAGAAGAAUCCCUUAUUGUUCUGGAUGAUCUUUCACGUGCAAGAGAAGGAUUUGUGUUAGCAUCUGAUCUUCAUUUGGUUUAUUUGGCAACACCAAUAAAUGUUGAAGUUGAGCCUGACUGGGAACUGUUUUAUGAACGAUUUAUGGAGCUGUCUUCCAUAGACCAGUCAGUUGGCAACCGUGUUGGAGUUAUAGAGCCAUUUUUGAUGCGAAUGGCACAUGGGGCACCUGUGCGUACUGCAAAUCAUUCUAGAAAUGAUAUCAAAGGAUUGCAUAGCCGAAUAGAUUCCCUACUAGGAGUCUCAAAAAGUAAUACCCUCUCAAAUGAGCAGUCUCUUCGUGUGUGCCGACGAUUUUACGUUGCCCUCAUCUUGUCACGAUUGGUGCAGGAACUACCUGUAGGUGAGGUUUGUGCAGCCUUCAAAGUAGCACGGGGAAUGGUUCAAGCUUUACAAGAAAAUGCCGGAAGAUUUGCAUCUAUGGUCUCUGUAUUUUGUGAGAGACUUGGUUGGCUUGAUCUGGAAGGCCUAGUAGCUAAAUUUCAAAAUCGUGUGUCAUUUGGAGUGAGAGCAGAGAUUGUAGAGCUUACUACUAUCCCGUAUGUAAAGGGCUCCCGGGCUAGAGCAUUAUACAAAGCUGGCUUGCGUACUCCUUUGGCAAUUGCUGAAGCAUCUGUUGCAGAAAUAGCAAAGGCUCUCUUUGAAUCGUCAUCUUGGGCUGCGUCAGAAAAUCUAGCACAGCGACGUGUUCAUUUGGGGAUAGCGAAGAAGAUUAAGAAUGGUGCAAGAAAAAUUGUCCUUGAUAAAGCUGAGGAGGCGAGAGCUGCUGCAUUCUCAGCAUUCCAAUCACUUGGACUGAAUGUUCCCCAACUUUCUCAUCCUGUCUUGUUACCUGCCUCUGGUGACCUUAUUGACACUGACGCAGUGACCCACUCCUCUGGAGAAAAUAGUACCAGUAGCUCUUCUGAUCAUAAAAGAAAGCAUAUUUCAACUGAAUUAGUUGAAAGACGGGGGAAUGAAUGUGCUCCAAAUUCUGAUGUUGGAAGGCCGGCAAAAAAACUAGUUACUGGCUUGGAAAUUUCAGCUGAAAAAAAGGCAGUUAAUUCCUUUCCUGGUGUUCUUGCCAUUCGAGCUUCUUCUACAUCAGAUAAAGAUUUUGUUCCAGUUAAGGGCACAACACCGAUUCCUUGUUUGGGUCAGAAUGAAACCAUGCCAUGUGUAGGAGUUAUGAAUGAGGAAGACCGGAAAUGGGAGAAAAAUAAUGUGUGCAGUGGUAGCAAUAAGCAACGUUCUAAUGACAAAGGUCCCAUUAAUGUAAUUAGUGCAAGCAGUUUGGAUGCCCUUUUGGAUGUCUUGGAAUCUGUUGGAGAUUUUUAUUUUGAUAUUCACUUCAACAAAAAGUCUGAAGUGAACUCUAUGGUUGCUUAUGAAGUACUUGGCCUUGCCAUCUGCUGGGAAAAUUCACCUGUGUAUUAUGUCAAUCUUACUAAGAUUUUACAGAACAGCAAUGUUGACUCAUGCAACAAUUCCGGGCAAGUAAAUUCAAUUGAUGCAAACAUUUUGUCAGUUCCAGAAAAUCUCCGGUGGAUGAGGAUUGGUAGGUUACUAGGGAGGAUGGAUGUUCGAAAAUUUACUUGGAAUUUAAAACAUCAAAUCAUGGUGUUGAAAAAUGCUGUUCUUUCACUGAAUAAAAACAGCCUGAGUCAGACAUUAAAAAGUACAGCCAUUGAACUUGUUGAUGGUUCGUUCUUUAGGUUGCCCAAGGUUAUUCUGCAAAAUGGAAUUGACAUCUGUAUAGUAGCCUGGAUCCUUUGGCCUGACGAGGAGAGAAGCUCUAAUCCAAGUCUUGAGAAGGAAGUUAAGAAGCGUUUAACGAGUGAGGCAGCAGCAGCAGCUAAUCAGAGUGGUAGGUGGAAAAAUCAGAUGCGAAGAGCUGCACAUAAUGGUUGUUGUCGCCGUGCUGCUCAAAUACGGGCCCUACAGUGUGUUCUUUGGAAAUUGCUUACUUCUGAAGAACUUGUUGAUGCACUUUUGGGCAUUGAACUUCCCUUGGUUCAUGUCCUUGCAGAAAUGGAGGACCAGGGAAUGGGCGUUGACAUGGAAGGUUGCCUCAAGGCACGACAUUUGCUUAGUAAAAAGCUCAAGAUUCUUGAAAAGGAAGCUUACAAACAUGCUGGCAAGGUGUUUUCUCUGUAUAUGCCAGCAGAUAUUGCCAAUGUGCUCUAUGAACACUUGAAGCUCCCAAUACCUGAGGGGCACAACAAAGGAAAACAGCAUGCGAGCACAGACAAACAUUGUUUGGACGCUCUAAGGCUUGAGCACCCUAUUGUUCCGGUAAUAAAGGAGCAUCGAACAUUAUCAAAGCUCCUUAAUUGUACAUUAGGAUCAAUAUGUUCUUUAGCAAAGUUGUCUAUGAAGACGCAGAGGUAUACACUGCAUGGUCGUUGGCUCCAGACAUCAACAGCAACAGGACGACUUUCGAUGGAGGAACCUAAUCUUCAGUGUGUUGAACAUAUGGUUGAAUUUAGAAUGCAUCAAAAUGGUGACGUGCAAUGUGAUUCUGAUGGUACAGAUUAUAAAAUCAACGCACGUGAUUAUUUUAUUCCCACUGAGGAAAACUGGCUACUUUUAACAGCAGAUUAUUCUCAGAUAGAACUGAGGUUGAUGGCUCACUUCUCUAAGGACCCUUCUCUAAUUGAACUACUCAGUGAUCCGCAUGGUGAUGCCUUUACCAUGGUUGCAUCUAGAUGGACGGGCAAGCUAGAAUCCAAUGUGAGCUCUCAAGAGAGAGACCAAACCAAAAGACUAGUGUAUGGCAUUCUUUACGGCAUGGGUGCUAAUACUCUUGCUGAGCAGCUGCAUUGCAGUGCAGAUGAAGCUAAAGCAAAAAUCCAAAGUUUCAAAAAUUCUUUCCCUGGCGUUGCUUCUUGGCUUCAUGAGGCUGUUGCAUUCUGCCGUCAACGAGGAUAUGUGCAGACUCUUAAGGGUAGAAAACGCUUCUUAUCAAAAAUACAAUUUGGCGAUGGCAAGGAGAAAGCUAAAGCUCAGAGACAAGCUGUGAAUUCAAUAUGUCAGGGUUCUGCAGCUGACAUAAUUAAGAUAGCAAUGAUCAACAUCUAUUCUGUAAUUGCUGAAUCUGAGACACAUAGUUCUACUGAUGCACUUGUGACAAAAUUUUCUAUGCUCAAGGGCCGCUGCCAUAUUCUGUUGCAGGUGCAUGAUGAGUUGGUUAUGGAAGUUGAUCCGUCAGUUUUAAGGGAGGCUGGGUUAUUGCUGAAGAUGUGCAUGGGGAGUGCUGCUUCUCUUUUAGUCCCUCUACAAGUAAAGGUGAAGGUUGGCAGGACUUGGGGUUCAUUGGAGCCUUUCACUGUCAAUGACGCCGGAGGAUAAAAGUGCUUUAUAUUCGAAGUUUCUCCAUCCCGGUGGCAACCCAGUGGGGCCCAAUUUUGGCCGGUGUUUCGUGUUGGAUCGCAAAGGAUAUUACCUCUCUGAAAUGCAAUGAAGGAGAAACGCGCUGAAAACUUGAGAUAGACAAGUUACACCACCACAUUCCUCCAUGUGUCCCUCCAUUGGCUGGGUGUGGCCGUGUAGGCCUGGUUAUUGGUCGGGUCAGCGUCAGGGUCGGUGCGGGUCAAAAGCGGGUCGAGUAAUGAAAGGGUCAAUUUUAGCGGAUUAAUAAUGGGCGGGUCAAUAGCGGGAUAUUUUGCAUGGAGGCAAGCUCUGAGGCCUUACUGCGAGCCUUUGGUGCAUGAAUGUCUUUACCAAUGUUCCACGCAACAAACCUUCAUGACAAACAAGCUGCCUCAUCUGAUGAUAAAUUGAUAAUCAGAUGCCUCUUGGAAUUACCUGAGGCUUGAGAUGAACUUGAUGUUUGGUUUGACAUUGAGGCUUGAUUUGUGUCUUGAUUAACUAAUGUUCCCGACGAUUCAUUAGAUUCGUGGGUUGGAGGUGUUGUAGAAGAUUUAUUGAAAUCUUCAUAAGAUGAUUGGUUUGAUUCUGAUGUUUGACUUGAGGCUUUGGUUGAUCCUUUUUCUGGAGAUAUACUUGGUGUUGGACCUGAAGAUGUUGUAGAGGAUUGAUCAUCAACUUGAUUUGUUCCUUCUGUUGGACUCGUAGUUGGGCUUGAUUCUUGAGUUGACAUAUUAGAAGAAUGAUUAGACCCUUUACUUGAGUAUUGUGAUGACUCUGAUGCUUGACUUGAGUGAUGGCCAGACACAUGACUUGAAUAUUUUCCAGAAUCCUGAGUUGAUGCUUGAUUAUAAGCUUGAUGAGACCUUGAGAAUUGGCUAGAAUGUUCACCCGACCACUUACUCGACGCUUGACUUGAUGAUGAAGAACUAAAAUGUCCAUCAUUUGCAUCACCAAUUCCUACUUCUUUAUUUGUAUUAAAAUCGGAGUUUCCGGAAUCUCUGGCUCCAACGUAACUUUUAAAUUUAAUCAUUGAGUUUCCGUCCAAUUGUGCAUUACCUUCUUGAUUGCUAUUUUCUA